CCAUAGAAUGUGAAUUUCAGAGGCACAUUAAGCCUAGUGAAAAGCUCCUUGGAUUUCAGUUGUACACAUGAUUUCAUCUUGUCACCUAGAGUAUGAACUUCAAGCAAAUAGAAUUCUAUUUCAGACUUAUGGAUUCAGAAGUCAAACUGAAAAGGAGUUUGGAAAAAUGUUUAAAAUUACAGGCUCAAAAACAAGCUUUCCCAAGAUUACCAACUUUGUUACUCUUCUGGUUUUCUACUACUGUUCCAUCCUUAUCUAUCACUCUUUUAUUCUUUGAUACUUUUUCAUUCAGCCACCUUCUUUGCUUGUUAUAGAUCUAGCUGCUGCUUUUCACAUAUGCCAUGGUAUUACUUAUUAUUUAAUGGGUCCUAAAAUAACUUUAAAGAAAACCACGUGUCUUAUUA
rnacentral:sRNA from 1 species